GUUUAAUUUUCAGGGCAGAACACAAAAGUCCAUUUUACUCACAAGUCCUGUUGAUUAUCAUCCUGGCCAUGGAAUCAGUUUUUACAGUUGAAAAGUGCUUUGCAAGAGUUGGAGAAAAGAUCAAUACCCAACUGUGGCCCAAGUGAGGGGAGUAGAAUGGAGUAAUUGCAGCUGAAGGUUAACUUUGGACACAUUUCCUGGUGGAAGGUUCCCCGUUACUUUAUCAUGGCCAGAAGCAGAUGUCUCAAAUAACUGGUGUUUAAAAGGUUCCUCCAGUGCUCACGGAGAAUGGGUGAACUUACCUGGUACACAAGAUCCAAGAGAAUCGAGCCACACGGACCUCAUAAUGGAAAGACGAUAUUCUUAUUUCUUUGUGGAAAAGAGAGAAAGAAGAAUACAACUGUAUUACAUGCUUUGUGGCUCACAUAAAAAUGUCAAUUUCAAUCAAGAAGAGAAGUAUUCAAGAUCCUGAGGACAGAGGGAGGUAGCGACUGUAAACAGU